rnacentral:lncRNA from 1 species
CUUCAUGAGGAUAGUAAUAAUAAAGGAUGAAGAAACGCAACAAAAUUCUAUUUAUAUGAGUAACACAUACAUUCCUAAUCAAAACUGAAGGCGCAUUCAAAUUAAAUGUGUCUAUUAUGAAAGAUGUUUUAGGUUCCCAAAGGAUCCCACCUGUAAUGAGAAAUGGAGAACAGCUUUGACUUAUAUUCCAAGGCAGUGUCACUACUUAUUUGGUAUUUUAUUAGGAUCACCAUUAGCUGUUGCAAAAGCAGCAGCUACUCUUCCUGGGAUCCACACAAAACAUGAAACAUACAGUUGAAGUCAGAAGUUUACAUACACCUUAGCCAAAUACAUUUAAACUCAGUUUUUCACAACUCCUGACAUUUAAUCCUAGUAAAAAUUCCAUGUCUUAGGUCAGUUAGGACCACAAAUUUAUUUUAAGAAUGUGAAAUGUCAGAAUAAUAGUAGAGAGAAUUAUUUAUUUCAGCUUUUAUUUCUUUCAUUACAUUCCCAGUGGGUCAGAAGUUUACAUACACUCAAAUAGUAUUUGGUAGCAUUGCCUUUAAAUUGUUGAACUUGGGUCAAACAUUUCAGGUAGCCUUCCACAAGCUUCCCACAAUAAGUUUGGAAGUUUGCUUGGGGUCAUUGUCCAUUUGGAAGACACAUUUGCGACCAAGCUUUAACUUCCUGACUGAUGUCUUGAGAUGUUCCUUCAAUAUAGCCACACAAAGCACCCCCACAACAUGAUGCUGCCACCCCUGUGCUUCAAGGUUGGGAUGGUGUUCUUCGGCUUGCAAGCCUCCCCCUUUUUCCUCCAAACAUAAUGAUGGUCAUUAAGGCCAAACAGUUCUAUUUUUGUUUCAUCAGACCAGAGGACAUUUCUCCAAAAAGAAUGAUAUUUGUCCCCAUGUGUGUAACAGGGUUAUAUUGGUGAUUCCCCUUACCACUUUAUUGUUAAGCCAAUGGGGUUUUGGUUUUAUUUUUGUCUUGCCUUCACCUACUCGACAUGGCAUCUUAUUGUCACGGUUGUCGUAGGGUAAAGACCAAAACGCAGCAGGAAUAUGUACACUCAUCUUCUUUAUUACUGACAAAGAAGGAAAAAAAACAAAACGUAUACAAAACACAACGACGACUAACAGGCCGGUAAGGCACAAAGCUAUACACAGCACAAUCUCCCACAAAAAAAACAUGAAAACAAACUCCUAAUUAUAGGACCCUCAAUCAGAGGCAACAAUAACCAGCUGCCUCCAAUUGAAGGUCCAACCACAAUUAACUAAACAAAGAACUACAAUAGACUAGAUAGAACAUAGAAAAAUACUAACAUAGAACAUAGACUAACAAACCCCGGACCACAUAAACCAAACACCCCUCUACCUAAAUACAUAGCCCAAACAACAUGAAACAAACACCCCCUGCCACAUCCUGACCAAACUAUAAUAACAAAUAACCCCUAUUAGUGGUCAGGACGUGACACUUAUUGACUGGUUUGCGUAGCUUGCUUACGAGGGAGGAUGUUUCAGUUAGAAUCUUCCCAGUGAACAAGCACCAAACCAGCGGUAAGUUGUUGGUUGCAAAGCACUGUACGUCAAAAGUGAUUUUUAUACUCCCAAGUGAUAAUUUAAAUGUACAAUUUAUAUCAAUUUGUUUGGAAAUGUUAUUCGAACAUCACACAUAAGAUGCAGCGGUUUUUGGUGAAUAUUGGUUGUGCAUUUUGUUGUAGAGAAUUCCAGCUAAUACUAGCUAGCAACUUACUGUGUCUGGUGGGGGGGUUUUAUAUUUUGUACAGUGCGUGAGUGCAGAGUUGGAUGGUGAGCCGUGCAUUGCAUGACGUGCAAUUUUGUGCUGUUCCUAUCAGAAUAAAUCUCCAUGACUGGUGUUACAAGUUGGAGUUCGUGUCGAUGAUUGAUUGUACACAACGCAAGAAGAGUACUAUUACAUGUGCAGUUCCAAACCGUAGUCUGGCUUUUUUAAUGGUGGUUUUGGAGCAGUGGCUUCUUCCUUGCUGAGCGGCCUCUCAGGUUAUGUCGAUAUAGGACUCGUUUUACUGUGGAUAUAGAUACUUUUGUACCUGUUUCCUCCAGCAUCUUCACAAGGUCCUUUGCUGUUGUUCUGGGAUUGAUUUGCACCAUUCGCACCAAAGUACGUUCAUCUCUAGGAGACAGAACGCGUCUCCUUCCUGAGCGGUAUGAUGGCUGCGUGGUCCCAUGGUGUUUAUACUUGCGUACUAUUGUUUGUAUGGAUGAACGUGGUACCUUCAGGCGUUUGGAAAUUGCUCCCAAGGAUGAACCAGACUUGUGGAGGUCAACAAUUUUUUGUCGAGGUCUUUGCUGAUUUCUAUUGAUUUUCCCAUAAUGUCAAGCAAAGAGGCACUGAGUUUGAAGGUAGGGCUUGAAAUACAUCCAUAGGUACACCUCCAAUUGACUCACAUUUUGUCAAUUAGCCUAUCAGAAGCUUCUAAAGCCAUGACAUAAUUUUCAGAAAUUUUCCAAGCUGUUUAAAGGCACAGUCAACUUAGUGUAUGUAAACUUCUGACCCACUGGAAUUAUGAUACAGUGAAUUAUAAGUGAAAUAAUCUGUCUGUAAACAAUUGUUGGAAAAAUUGCUUGUGUUAUGCACAAAGUCGAUGUCUUAACUGACUUUCCAAAACUAUAGAUUGUUAACAAGAAAUUUGUGGAGUGGUUGAAAAAUGAGUUUUAAUAACUCCAACCUAAGCGUAUGUUAACUUCCGGCUUCAAAUGUUACACAGAAUGACAUAACACAGUACAUCAUUAGACAAGAACAGUUCAAGGACAGAACUACAUACAGUUUUAAAAAAGGCACACGUAGCCUACAUAUCAAUGCAUACACACAAACUAUCUAGUUCAAAAAGGCGAGAGGCGUUGUGCCGCGAGGUGUUGCUUUAUCUGUUUUGCUCGCAGAAGUGUUUUAGGGAGCGUUUGACCGCGGACCCAUAGCGGAUGCAGGCAAUGAGGCAGUGAUCGCUGAGAUCCUGAUUGAAAACAGCAGAGGUGUAUUUGGAGGGCAAGUUGGUCAGGAUAAUAUCUAUGAGGGUGCCCAUGUUUACGGGUUUAGGGUUGUACCUGGUGGUUUCCUUGAUAAUUUGUGUGAGAUUGAGGGCAUCUAGCUUAGAUUGUAGGACUGCUGGGGUGUUAAGCAUAUCCCAGUUUAGGUCACCUAACAGAACGAACUCUGAAGAUUGAUGGGGGGGCAAUCAAUUCACAUAUCGUGUCCAGGGCAGAGCUGGGAGCUGAGGGGGGUUUAUAACAGGCGGCAACAGUGAGAGACUUAUUUCUGGAGAGAUUCAUUUUUAAAAUUAGAAGUUCGAACUGUUUGGGUAUAGACCUGGAAAGUAUGACAGAACUUUGCAGGCUAUCUCUGCAGUAGAUUGCAACUCCUCCCCCUUUGGCAGUUCUAUCUUCACAAAAAAUGUUGUAGUUGGGUAUGGAAAUCUCAGAAUUUUUGGUGGCCUUCCUAAACCAGGAUUCAGACACGGCAAAGACAUCAGGGUUGGCGGAGUGUGCUAAAGCAGUGAGUAAAACAAACUUAGGGAGGAGGCUUCUGAUGUUAACAUGCAUGAAACUAUUAGAUAGAUAGCUCUGAAUCUACGAUAUGGCAGAGGUUGAAAAGCCAUAGCACUGUUUUUUCAACAACAGGAUAUGGUCAUUAAUAUCAAAGGCUGCACUGAAAUCUAACAGUACAGCUCCCACAAUCUUCUUAUUAUCAAUUUAUUUCAACCAAUCAUCAGUUAUUUGUGUCAGUGCAGUACAUGUUGAGUGCCCUUCUCUAUAAGCAUCCUGAAAGUCUGUUGUUAAUUUGUUUACAGAGAAAUAGCAUUGUAUUUGGUCAAACACCAUUUUUUCCAACAGUUUGCUAAGAGCUGGCAGCAAGCUGAUCGGUCUGCUGUUAGAACCAGUAAAGGCUGCUUUACCACUCUUGGGUAGCGGAAUUACCUUGGCUUCCCUCCUGGCCGGAGGACAUCUAGGGUCAGAUUAAAGAUAUGACAGAUAGGAGGGGCUAUGGAGUCAGCUACCAUCCUCAGUAGCUUUCCAUCUAAGUUGUCAAUGCCAGGAGGUUUGUCAUUAUUGAUUGUUAACAAUCAUUUUUCCACCUCUCCCACACUAACGUUACAAAAUUCAAACUUGCACUGCUUUUCUUUCAUUAUUUGUUUUUUUAUAUAUUAAUAUAAUUGCUCACUGUUUGUCAUGGGCAUUUCCUGCCUAAGUGUGCCCACUUUGCCAAUGGAAUAAUCAUUAAAAUAAUUAGCAAAAUCAAAUGAUUUUGUGAUGAAUAAGCUAUCUGAUUCGAUGAAAGAUGGAGUUGAAUUUGUCUUUCUGCCCAUAAUUUCAUUUAAAGUACUCCAAAGUUUUUUUCCGUCAUUCUUUGUCAUUUAUCUUGCCUUCAUAAUACAGUUUCUUCUUCUUUUUGUUGAGUUUAGUCACAUCAUUUCUCAAUUUGCAGUAAGUCAGACAGUCAGAUGUGCAGCCAGACUUAUUAGCCAUUCCUUUUGCCCCAUCUCUUUCAACCAUACAGUUUUUCAAUUCCUCAUCAAUCCAUGGAGCCUUAACAGUUCUAGCAGUCAGUUUCUUAACAGGUGCAUGUUUAUCAAUAAUAGGAAAAAGCAAUUUCAUAAAUUCAUCAAGUGCAGCAUCUGGAUGCUCCUCAUUAAUCACAUCAGACCAACAAAUAUUUUUAACAUCAUCCACAUAAGAGUCACAGCAAAAUGUUUUGUAUGAUCUCUUAUACACUAUUUUAGGCCCAGCUGUUGGAACUUUGGCUUUCCUGGAUAUAGCCACUAUAUUUUGAUCACUGCAUCCAAUGGGUAUGGAUAUAGCUUUAGAACAAAGUUUGACAGCAUUAGUAAAAAUGUGAUCAAUACAUGUGGAUCUUGUUCCUGUAGCGUUUGUAAACACCCUGGUAGGUUGAUUAAUAACCUGAACCAGAUUACAGGCACUGGUUACAGUGAGAAGCUUCCACUUGAGCGGGCAGCUUGAUGAAAACCAGUCAAUAUUCAGGUCCCCAAGAAAGUAAACCUCUCUGUUUACAUCACAUACACUAUAAAGCAUUUCACACAUAUUAUUUAGAUUCUGACUGUUAGCACUUGGUGGCCUAUAGCAACACCCCAAAAGAAAAGGCUUUAGAUGUGCCAAGUGAACCUGCAACCACAACACUUCAAUAACACUUGAUAUAAGAUCUUCUCUAAGCAUUACAGGGAUAUGGUUCUGAAUAUGUACAGCCACACCUCCCCCAUAAGCAUUUCUGUCUCAACUAUAAAUGCUAUAUCCUUGUAUUGCUACUGAUGUAUCAUCAAAUGAAUUAUCUAAGCGAGUCUCAGAAAUGGCUAAUAUAUGAAUUCUAUCUGAUGUUAGCAAGUUAUUGAUUUCGUGAACCUUAUUUCUAAGGCUACAUACAUUAAUAUGGGCUAUUUUCAGCCCUUUCCUGGGUAGCUUAUCAGAGCUAGACAUAAUAUUGAAAAGAGCAGACAAAGAAAGAGAAAAAAUAUAUACAUUCAGCAGUCCAUUAAUCAAUAGAACUUGACCACUAUCGGCCUGGGCCUGUCACCUGUGCCGAUGGUGGGGUUUUCAAGCCUGUGGGCCACUCCACCUCAAUCUUCCUGUGGUCCAACUUCAAUUUCUCAGAGAUCAUUUCCCUCACUUUGUCCUCAGACUCCAUCCAGGUCUCAUGCGGAGAUCCUGCAAUUCCGUCCACAACCAUGUUGUUUCACCUUGAUUGUCCCUCGAGAUAGUCUGAUUAAUCUGUCAUUGUUAUCAUGGAUUCACACACAGAAUUGAUGUCCUCUCUCAAUGACUUACAGAUUACUGUCAUCUUGCCGUUCUCCUGUUUCAACUCGUUGACCUGCCCCUGGGAGAACUGCAAACUGUUCUUCAGGUCCUGGACCUCUCUGGUCAGGUCGUUCAUUCAUUUAUUAGUAGAAUCCACGAGUAUUUGGACAAAACACUUGAAACUAUUUUAUUGUUGUUGUAACAACUGCUUAUAGGUCUCUUUUUGUUUGUUUUGUUCGACUUGCAAGAUCCUACCCUUGACCUGCAAAACCCUAUUCCAACUCCCAUACCAUCAACUUCCACAGGAAAUGCAUACCCUGUAAGCACUCCAUAGACACACUCUACUGUACACAUACAAAAAUGAUGAUCUGUGGAGAGCUAUUUCAGCAGGGUGCUGACAUUGUGGAGCAUAGGACAUACAGUAAUAUGAAAUUAGGAAAGGAAAUGUUUUAGUUAUGGAAAUUAUAGGUUUAGCUGACAAGUGUAGGAAUGGCAUGAUUUGUCAUAACACAGGUUUACUGUACUAGCUUCUCACCUACCUUAGCACGAUAUGAAGAGUUGUUGAAAAUACAUAAAUAUACAGUACAUCUGGAGGCGCUGACCAUGGAUGGGAAUGCAUCGAACACAACAAUGUCUCGUCUUUUUGGCUGCCAGUUCGACCUUAAGACCCAAGAGACCACCGUAACGUCCUUUACACCAUCUGGGGUUGACGAGCCGACACAUAUUUUUUUAGAUGCAUGCCACAUGCUCAAGCUUGUUAGGAACUCACUGCACUGCUACAAAUGACUCAAAAGCGAGGAUGGGGUGAUCACAUUGUCAACCAAGGAGGCAUGUCGAUUUUUGACAACAGGAAACCUCAGCCGCUCUGUUGCCCAGGCCCUGAAAAUGCUGUACCUGUGUGAGGAACACAAGUUUUAAGAUUGCAUGCUUACAGUCAGGUUCUGUGAGGUAAUAAUUUCACAUUCGUAUAUCUUAUCUCACACAUCUAUCUCAGGGAAUGACAUCUGAAAUGCAAACCAAGAUAUUUCUUGUUAUGUUACAGAUCAUAGACAAGCUGUUUGACGUCUUCAACACAAGGAGCUCUGGAGGCCUCGGCUCAAAGGCUG